UACGUAGGGGCAAGCGUUGUCCGGAUUAUUGGGCGUAAAGGGCGUGUAGGCGGCCAUGUAGGUCCGUUGUGAAAACUCGAGGCUCAACCUCGAGACGCCGAUGGAAACCUGUGGCUAGAGUCCGGAAGAGGAGAGUGGAAUUCCUGGUGUAGCGGUGAAAAUGCGCAGAUAUCAGGAAGAACACCCGUGGCUAAGGCGGCUCUCUAGUACGGUACUG
rnacentral:rRNA from 1 species